rnacentral:rRNA from 1 species
AGUGAACGCUGGCGGUAGGCCUAACACAUGCAAGUCGAACGGCAGCACAGUAAGAGCUUGCUCUUACGGGUGGCGAGUGGCGGACGGGUGAGGAAUACAUCGGAAUCUACUUUUUCGUGGGGGAUAACGUAGGGAAACUUACGCUAAUACCGCAUACGACCUACGGGUGAAAGCAGGGGAUCUUCGGACCUUGCGCGAUUGAAUGAGCCGAUGUCGGAUUAGCUAGUUGGCGGGGUAAAGGCCCACCAAGGCGACGAUCCGUAGCUGGUCUGAGAGGAUGAUCAGCCACACUGGAACUGAGACACGGGCCAGACUCCUACGGGAGGCAGCAGUGGGGAAUAUUGGAAAAUGGGCGCAAGCCUGAUCCAGCCAUACCGCGUGGGUGAAGAAGGCCUUCGGGUGGUAAAGCCCUUUUGUUGGGAAAGAAAAGCAGCAGGUUAAUACCCCGCUGUUCUGACGGUACCCAAAGAAUAAGCACCGGCUAACUUCGU